GACGAACCUUGCUAACGUUAUUCGGAAUUACUGGGCGUAAAGGGCUCGUAGGCGGCCAACUAAGUCAGACGUGAAAUCCCUCAGCUUAACUGGGGAACUGCGUCUGAUACUGGAUGGCUUGGAUUUGGGAGAGGGAUGCGGAAUUCCAGGUGUAGCGGUGAAAUGCGUAGAUAUCUGGAGGAACACCGGUGGCGAAGGCGGCAUCCUGGACCAAUAUUGACGCUGAGGAGCGAAAAGCCAGGGGGAGCA
rnacentral:rRNA from 1 species